AAAUAAAAUAUAAAUUUAUAUCCUUUUAAAACUUCUUAUAAUACUUAUAAUACUUAUAAUACAAAUACACAAAAGUUUGACCCCUCCCUCUAAUUUUUUUCU
rnacentral:tRNA from 1 species